AACGAACGCUGGCGGCAUGCCUAAUACAUGCAAGUCGAACGGGAAAAUCGGGAAUAGGGGUGCUAGUGGGCGAAGGGCGAGGAAAGCGGGCCUAAGGUUCGGAAUAACGGGGGGAAAGGGGUCGUAAUAUUGGAUAAUACCUCCGAAGCAAAGAUUUAUCGCGUUUGGAUGGGCCCGCGUUGGAUUAGUUAGUUGGUAGUGUAAGUGCCUAUCAAGACGACGAUCGAUAGCUGGUCUGAGAGGAUGAUCAGCCACACUGGGACUGAGACACGGACAAGACUCCUACGGGAGGCAGCAGUGGGGAAUAUUGGACAAUGGGCGAAAGCCUGAUCCAGCAAUGCCGCGUGAGUGAUGAAGGCCUUAGCGUUGUAAAGCUCUUUUACCCGGGAUGAUAAUGACAGUACCGUGAGAAUAAGCUCCGGCUAACUCCGUG
rnacentral:rRNA from 1 species